UUCUACUGAGCCACCAAGGAUGUGUCUGGAGUACAGAGAAGACUUUUAGUGCUGAAUGUUAAUGAUUUAUUCAUGAUCCUAUGUGUGCUUUCAAAUUAGGCAGCACUUUCUAGCAGACCUGAUGGUGUGGCUGGUUCUUGUGUGCUCAUCUCCAUGAGAGAGAAACCUCUCCUGCUCUCAUGCUUUUGCGGUCCAGAGUACAUGGAUUUUGAGGUGAAAGUUCACUGAAGUUCUGGUGAAGCUAUGAAUUCAAGAAAGCUGUUGUUCCUAUUGCUGAUCUGAAGGAUGAGUCCUUAUUCAAGAGCUUUUGGCAUUCACGUUUCUAUUAUACUCAAGUGGAAUACUGAAAUGUCCAUUUUCCAAUGGCUACAGAAAUAUCUUAGAACAGCUAGACAAAGUUACUAUGUCUAUGAACAGUACUCUUGAAGGUAACAACUCUGCCUAAAAUUCAGGAGCUGCAUCAGGAAGUUGCAUAAGAUUUAAAAGCUGCAGCGUUUGACAGUGGUCCACAAAUUGUGACAGGUAAGCUUUUUUCAGGGCACACAGGAAUUCAAAGUUAACUUAACUAUAAAAUUGGCUGAUGUAUUUGGUUACCAAUUUGGUCAAGUUAGCAAUUUGGCUUAGUCUUUAUUCACAAUGCUUUUAGGGGAAAAAGUAACAGAGAAAUUUUUGUACUGUAAUUUGGCUAAGUGUGUCUGAGCUAGAAUGAAAUUUGCUUUGCAUACACUUUCCCAGUUUGAACAAUUAUACUCUUCAAGUCUGAAUGAAGUCAGCAGUAUCAUUUGUCGACCCACCUGGAGGAGGUGACCUGCUGGGGUCUGUUGACUUUCCUGGAAUAGCCGGGGUAGGCUGGAAGUGGGAUGGUGACCUGCAGACCAAGACUUUUGGUGGAAUAUAAUCUUUUGUGUUGACUUUUGCUUGACAUUAGAGGUGGUAGUGCCAUUCAUUUACAUAUUUCUGUUAAGUAAGCAGAUGGUUCUUGUGUUACCUUAGCCUUGUGUGGCAUAAUCAUGGGUACUGUGGAUAUGUGUGAGAAUAUGAAAGGAAUGACUGCCAUAACUUGGAGGGACAAGAGGUGCAAUGUUUAUUACGCAAUAUAGAAAAACCAGCUAUGCCUGGAUCCCUCAAACUAGAUUUGAACAGGUGAAAUUCCUUCCAUUGCUGUAACUCCGUACACUUCCAACAACAGCCUAGGGAAUUAAAUCUAAAAGGAAAAAAAAAUUAGAAUGUAAUACAAUGAAAACUGUGAGAGG
rnacentral:lncRNA from 1 species